UGGUGAUAAGGUUGGAUUCAAAACAACAAAGCUGUGUUCACUUCUUGUAGGUCAUGGUGAUAAGGUUGGAUUCAGAACAACAAGGCUGUGUUCACCUCUUGUAGGUCAUGGUGAUAAGGUUGGAUUCAGAACAAUAAGGCUGUGUUCACUUCUUGUAGGUCAUGGUGAUAAGGUUGGAUUCAGAACAACAAAGCUGUGUUCACUUCUUGUAGGUCAUGGUGAUAAGGUUGGAUUCAAAACAACAAAGCUGUGUUCACUUCUUGUAGGUCAUGGUGAUAAGGUUGGAUUCAGAACAACAAAGCUGUGUUCACUUCUUGUAGGUAAGUCAAAUUAAGUUAUUCUUCGGAGACAUGUUUUCAAGGGUUCACAUUCUGAAGAGCUUGCUUUAAAAGAUGAGAUAAAUUGAAAGUUUGCUGGCUAAAAAAACAAUCGUUGAAGUUGAGUUACUUUGCAGACAAAAGUUUUCCGGAUAUUCUAGUUAAAUCAUAAUAUAAGGGUUUUGAAAGUUGUUAUUGGAGUUGUAACAUUUCACUAGCAAAGACUACCGGUAGUAAUUAACAAGUUCCUUUGAGUCCUGAAGGAGGACAAUAUGACUUGACUGUCACUUAGUCCUUUUUUACUAAUUGAUAAUAUUCUCUCAGUUGUAAAGACUUAUUAAGUCACGCUUAUAAUAGGGCUAAAUUGAGAUUCCCCCCUCAGGGUCUUUGUAACGACUGCUGUCAAUAGUAUACAAGCAAAUAAGUAAUGUCAUAAUGAUGCUCUGGAAAACUUAUUAAUGUCUGAAAACAAAAGGACAAUAUCCCCCCAAAUAGUAUAUGCCUAUUGUACCCAUAAUAUCCUGUAAAAUGGAAUUAUUUCUCAAAACCAUGAGGAAUCAUUUCACUUAAUUACUUGAUUCAAUUUGAUCUUUUCAGAGACUAUAACAAACUCUCAGAGAGUAACAGAAAGCGAGGUCUACCUCGAGAUGGGAAAAUACCUAAAGAAACGCCCCUGGACGAUGUGGCGGGGGUGGCAGAUCAAAAGAAGACUGAUGCCCCAAAUUUGUAUUUAUAUUGAAAUGAAAUGAAUAAACUAGAGUUUACAU